GUGAACGCUGGCGGUAGGCCUAAUACAUGCAAGUCGAACGGCAGCACAGUAAGAGCUUGCUCUUACGGGUGGCGAGUGGCGGACGGGUGAGGAAUACAUCGGAAUCUACUUUUUCGUGGGGGAUAACGUAGGGAAACUUACGCUAAUACCGCAUACGACCUACGGGUGAAAGCAGGGGAUCUUCGGACCUUGCGCGAUUGAAUGCGCCGAUGUCGGAUUAGCUAGUUGGCGGGGUAAAGGCCCACCAAGGCGACGAUCCGUAGCUGGUCUGAGAGGAUGAUCAGCCACACUGGAACUGAGACACGGUCCAGACUCCUACGGGAGGCAGCAGUGGGGAAUAUUGGACAAUGGGCGCAAGCCUGAUCCAGCCAUACCGCGUGGGUGAAGAAGGCCUUCGGGUUGUAAAGCCCUUUUGUUGGGAAAGAAAAGCAGCAGGUUAAUACCCCGCUGUUCUGACGGUACCCAAAGAAUAAGCACCGGCUAACUUCGUG
rnacentral:rRNA from 1 species